UACGGGGGGGGCAAGCGUUGUUCGGAAUUACUGGGCGUAAAGGGCUCGUAGGCGGCCAACUAAGUCAGACGUGAAAUCCCCAGGCUUAACCUGGGAACUGCGUCUGAUACUGGAUGGCUUGAAUUCGGGAGAGGGAUGCAGAAUUCCAGGUGUAGCGGUGAAAUGCGUAGAUAUCUGGAGGAAUACCGGUGGCGAAGGCGGCAUCCUGGACCGGCAUUGACGCUGAGGAGCGAAAGCUAGGGGAGCAAACGGG
rnacentral:rRNA from 1 species